rnacentral:rRNA from 1 species
GAUCAUGGCUCAGGACGAACGCUGGCGGCGUGCCUAACACAUGCAAGUCGAGCGGAGACAGUGAGUAGCUUGCUAUGAGCUGUUUUAGCGGCGGACGGGUGAGUAACGCGUGAGCAACCUUUCCCAGACUAGGGGGAAUAACACACCGAAAGGUGUACUAAUACCGCAUAAGACCACGGGAUCACAUGGUUCUGGGGUAAAAGAUUUAUCGGUUUGGGGUGGGCUCGCGUCCGAUUAGGUAGUUGGUGAGGUAACCGG